GGUAGCAACCCGUUUGGUUAUCUUUCUGUGCUGUGGAAGGUUUGUUCUUUCACUCUGCACUAUUUUGCAAUAAAUAUUGCUAUUGCUCACUUUGGGUUUAUAUUGCCUUUAUGAGCUGUAACACUCACCAUGAAGGUCUGCAGCUUUACUCUUGAAGCUUAGCGAGACCACUAACCCACCAGAAGGAAGAAACUCCGGACACGCCGCCUUUAAGAACUGUAAUACUCAGUGCGAGGGUUCACGGCUUCAUUCUUGAGAAAGACAACGAGGAGGGAGCAGCUAGAGGGGUGGAAAUGGGAUCACGUGACCUUGCGAGAAGCAGGGAGAGAGAACACUGCGUCUGCUCCCUUUUAGAACAGACCACGUUCUAGAAUUGUAGAAUCCUGGCAAGAAAAAGGCAGCUCGUCCAGCCUUCUGUCCAGUGGAACAGCCCCAGCCAGAGCAACUGACAGAUGCUCAAUAUAGGGAAUCCCUAACAGAGGACUUCCAGGAUAUCCUAGGGACAGCAGAGCCUCAAGAUCCAGGGAGGAUCCUGGAUACCUGAGUCACCACUUGGAGGGGAAUCUCCUGGAAGAACUGAUUGAUCAGCAACAUCUACAUUCAACUUGAGGUUGUUCCGUAAGACAGGAUGGCACAGAGCUUUAAGCAACAGCUCUGGCAUCUGACUUCCGUGUUUGCAUCUGGCUUUGAGUGUGACUUUGGACAAGUUCCUUAGCUGGCCAGAUACUCUUGUCCUCAUCCAUAAGAUGGAGCAACAACGAAGCCUUUCUCAUAGGUUAUUGUGAGGAUUGAAUGAAUUAGUAUAUGCCAAGCAUUUGAAGCAGUGCCUGACAUGUAGUAGAUGCUGAGUAACACUGGGGAUCUGCCUUUUCUUUUUCCUCUAUGUGACUGGCAGCCUUAGCCAGACCACAUCAGCUGAGAUGAUUUUCUCUGUAAGUUACCAGGAUCACCUAGAUCUGGCCAAGGACUUGCCCCUGUAAGGAAAUUUGGAAUAAGCAAAAAAGAUCACUAGGUGUCGCCGAUGGAAAACUAGGUUGUUUUGAGCAUACCUUUGCAUGUUAUCUGAUUUUAGCCUUUCAGGGUCUUUGAGCUAUUUUAUGGCUCUGUAGGUUGUACAUAACUGAUAGCAAUGCAAAAUAAUUCUUGUCUAUAGACAUGCAAAUAAAUCCUGUCCAGCGGUUCAAUUGACUACCCUCUUCCCUAAGGAAAAAGCCAGUUUCAGUCUAUUUGUAAAUUCAUUUCCACUUUCCUUACUCCCUAUAAAUUUCUGCUUUUCAGAUUUCUCCUUUGUUAACGUCUGCCUGGUUCCCUCAUUAAGUCAAAUAAAAUCUUUAACACGUUA
rnacentral:lncRNA from 1 species